rnacentral:rRNA from 1 species
AGAGUUUGAUCCUGGCUCAGGAUGUACGCUAGCGGCAGGCUUAACACAUGCAAGUCGAGGGGUAACAGGGAAAAGCUUGCUUUUCCGCUGACGACCGGCGCACGGGUGCGUAACGCGUAUAGAACCUACCUUUUACUGAGGGAUAGCCUUUAGAAAUGAAGAUUAAUACCUCAUAGUAUUUUAGAUUGGCAUCGAUUUAAAAUUAAAGAUUUAUUGGUAAAAGAUGGCUAUGCGUCCUAUUAGUUAGUUGGUGAGGUAACGGCUCACCAAGACAGCGAUAGGUAGGGGUCCUGAGAGGGAGAUCCCCCACACUGGUACUGAGACACGGACCAGACUCCUACGGGAGGCAGCAGUGAGGAAUAUUGGACAAUGGGCGAGAGCCUGAUCCAGCCAUGCCGCGUGCAGGAAGAAUGCCCUAUGGGUUGUAAACUGCUUUUAUACGGGAAGAAACACCCCCUCGUGAGGGGGCUUGACGGUACCGUAAGAAUAAGCACCGGCUAACUCCGUGCCAGCAGCCGCGGUAAUACGGAGGGUGCAAGCGUUAUCCGGAAUCAUUGGGUUUAAAGGGUCCGCAGGCGGUCAAUUAAGUCAGAGGUGAAAUCCCAUAGCUUAACUAUGGAACUGCCUUUGAUACUGGUUGACUUGAGUUAUACGGAAGUAGAUAGAAUGUGUAGUGUAGCGGUGAAAUGCAUAGAUAUUACACAGAAUACCGAUUGCGAAGGCAGUCUACUACGUAUAUACUGACGCUCAUAGACGAAAGCGUGGGGAGCGAACGGGAUUAGAUACCCCGGUAGUCCACGCCGUAAACGAUGGACACUAGUUGUUGGGAUUUAUCUCAGUGACUAAGCGAAAGUGAUAAGUGUCCCACCUGGGGAGUACGGUCGCAAGAUUGAAACUCAAAGGAAUUGACGG